rnacentral:rRNA from 1 species
GAGGAAGGUAGUGUAGUUAAUAGCUGCAUUAUUUGACGUUAGCGACAGAAGAAGCACCGGCUAACUCCGUGCCAGCAGCCGCGGUAAUACGGAGGGUGCGAGCGUUAAUCGGAAUUACUGGGCGUAAAGCGCAUGCAGGUGGUUUGUUAAGUCAGAUGUGAAAGCCCGGGGCUCAACCUCGGAAUAGCAUUUGAAACUGGCAGACUAGAGUACUGUAGAGGGGGUAGAAUUUCAGGUGUAGCGGUGAAAAUGCGUAGAGAUCUGAAGGAAUACCGGUGGCGAAGGCGGCCCCCCUGGACAGAUACUGACACUCAGAUGCGAAAGCGUGGGGAGCAAACAGGAUUAGAUACCCCUGGUAG